AGACGACGACGGGUAGCCGGCCUGAGAGGGCGACCGGCCASACUGGGACUGAGACACGGCCCAGACUCCUACGGGAGGCAGCAGUGGGGAAUAUUGCACAAUGGGGGAAACCCUGAUGCAGCGACGCAGCGUGCGGGAUGACGGCCUUCGGGUUGUAAACCGCUUUCAGCAGGGAAGAAGCGCAAGUGACGGUACCUGCAGAAGAAGUACCGGCUAACUACGUGCCAGCAGCCGCGGUAAUACGUAGGGUACGAGCGUUGUCCGGAAUUAUUGGGCGUAAAGAGCUCGUAGGUGGUUGGUCACGUCUGCUGUGGAAACGCAACGCUUAACGUUGCGCGUGCAGUGGGUACGGGCUGACUAGAGUGCAGUAGGGGAGWCUGGAAUUCCUGGUGUAGCGGUGAAAUGCGCAGAUAUCAGGAGGAACACCGGUGGCGAAGGCGGGACUCUGGGCUGUAACUGACACUGAGGAGCGAAAGCAUGGGGAGCGAACAGGAUUAGAUACCCUGGUAGUCCAUGCCGUAAACGUUGGGCACUAGGUGUGGGGGGCAUUCCACGUUCUCCGCGCCGUAGCUAACGCAUUAAGUGCCCCGCCUGGGGGAGUACGG
rnacentral:rRNA from 1 species